rnacentral:rRNA from 1 species
GAUGAACGCUGGCGGCGUGCCUAAUACAUGCAAGUCGAGCGAAUGGAUUAAGAGCUUGCUCUUAUGAAGUUAGCGGCGGACGGGCGAGUAACACGUGGGUAACCUGCCCAUAAGACUGGGAUAACUCCGGGAAACCGGGGCUAAUACCGGAUAACAUUUUGAACCGCAUGGUUCGAAAUUGAAAGGCGGCUUCGGCUGUCACUUAUGGAUGGACCCGCGUCGCAUUAGCUAGUUGGUGAGGUAACGGCUCACCAAGGCAACGAUGCGUAGCCGCCCGGGGAGGGGGAUCGGCCACACUGGGACUGAGACCCGGCCCAGACUCCGCCGGGAGGCAGCAGUAGGGAAUCUUCCGCAAUGGACGAAAGUCUGACGGAGCAACGCCGCGUGAGUGAUGAAGGCUUUCGGGUCGUAAAACUCUGUUGUUAGGGAAGAACAAGUGCUAGUUGAAUAAGCUGGCACCUUGACGGUACCUAACCAGAAAGCCACGGCUAACUACGUGCCAGCAGCCGCCGUAA